GAUGAACGCUGGCGGCGUGCCUAAUACAUGCCAGUCAAGCGAACGGACGAGAAGCUUGCUUCUCUGAUGUUAGCGGCGGACGGGUGAGUAACACGUGGAUAACCUACCUAUAAGACUGGGAUAACUUCGGGAAACCGGAGCUAAUACCGGAUGAUAUUUUGAACCGCAUGGUUCAAAAGUGAAAGACAGUCUUGCUGUCACUUAUAGAUGGAUCCGCGCUGCAUUAGCUAGUUGGUAAGGUAACGGCUUACCAAGGCAACGAUGCAUAGCCGACAUGAGAGGGUGAUCGGCCACACUGGAACUGAGACACGGUCCAGACUCCUACGGGAGGCAGCAGUAGGGAAUCUUCCGCAAUGGGCGAAAGCCUGACGGAGCAACGCCGCGUGAGUGAUGAAGGUCUUCGGAUCGUAAAACUCUGUUAUUAGGGAAGAACAUAUGUUUAAGUAACUGUGCACAUCUUGACGGUACCUAAUCAGAAAGCCACGGCUAACUACGUG
rnacentral:rRNA from 1 species